GUGCCAGCAGCCGCGGUAAUACGUAGGUGGCGAGCGUUGUCCGGAUUUACUGGGUGUAAAGGGCGCGUAGGCGGGUUCUUAAGUCCGGUGUGAAAUACCUCGGCUCAACCGGGGGGGUGCACUGGAAACUGGGGAUCUUGAGUGCUGGAGAGGGAAGCGGAAUUCCUAGUGUAGCGGUGAAAUGCGUAGAUAUUAGGAGGAACACCAGUGGCGAAGGCGGCUUUCUGGACAGUAACUGACGCUGAGGCGCGAAAGCGUGGGGAGCAAACAGGAUUAGAUACCCUGGUAGUCCACGCCGUAAACGAUGGAUACUAGGUGUGGGAGGUAUCGACCCCUUCCGUGCCGGAGUUAACACAAUAAGUAUCCCACCUGGGGAGUACGGCCGCAAGGUUGAAACUCAAAUGAAUUGACGG
rnacentral:rRNA from 1 species